GUCUACAGGCAUAACACUCUGAACAAACCUGAUCUCAUCUCAUCUCAGAAGCUAAGCAGGAUUGGGCCUGGUUAGUACUUGGAUGGUACUUCUUCAGGCAGUUCAAGAAAGAGGAAGCA
rnacentral:rRNA from 1 species